GGAAUUUUCCGCAAUGGGCGAAAGCCGGACGGAGCAAUCUCGCGUGAGGGAUGACGGCCUAUGGGUUGUAAACCUCUUUUUUCAGGGAGGAAUAAAUGACGUGUACCUGAAGAAUAAGCAUCGGCUAACUCCGUGCCAGCAGCCGCGGUAAUACGGAGGGUGCAAGCGUUGCUCGGAAUCACUGGGCGUAAAGGGAACGCAGGCGGAUUCGUAGGUCGGAUGUGAAAGCCCGGGGCUCAACCCCGGAACUGCAUUCGAAACCCCGUAUCUCGAGUACUGGAGAGGGAAGCGGAAUUCCUGGUGUAGAGGUGAAAUUCGUAGAUAUCAGGAGGAACAUCAGUGGCGAAAGCGGCUUCCUGGCCAGAUACUGACGCUCAUGUUCGAAAGCGUGGGGAGCAAACAGGAUUAGAUACCCCUGUAGUC
rnacentral:rRNA from 1 species